CAAAGGCAUACGGUGAAUGCCUAGGUCGAAAGUACCGAUGAAGGACGCACUAGACGGCGAUACUCUCCGGGGAGCUGCCAAGAAGCUUUGAUCCGGAGGUUUCCGAAUGGAGUAAUCCAUCCGUAAGGAUACCAUCAACUGAAUUCAUAGGUUGGUGGAGGGUACGCGCUGAACUGAAACAUCUAAGUAAGCGCAGGAAAAGAAAUCAAUAGAGAUUCCCCCAGUAGCGGCGAGCGAAAAGGGAACAGCCUAAACCUAGUGCGAGUAGUGAAGAUAGCAGAAGCCACUGGAAAGUGGCGCCGAAGAGGGUGAUAGCCCUGUAUGCGAAAUCUAAACUACCGUGGUUGGAUCCUCAAGUAGUCCAGGACACGUGAAAUCCUGGGUGAAUCCGGGGCGACCAUGCCCUAAGGCUAAAUAUACUUUCGGACCGAUAGUGAACUAGUACCGUGAGGGAAAGGUGAAAAGAAGGGCGGAACGCCCAGUGAAAUAGUACCUGAAACCGUAUGCUGUCAAGCUGUGGAAGGGAUGUACCAUUACGGUACGUCCUAACCGCGUGCCUAUUGAAGAAUGAACCGGUGAGUUGUCCUGUACUCCAAGUCUAAGUGCCGUAAGGCACAGAAGGCGUAGUGAAAGCGAGCCCUAACCGGGCGUCUAGGAGUGCACGGCAGACCCGAAACCGAGUGAGCUAACCAUGUCCAGGGUGAACUUCGCCGAAAGGCCGAGGGAGGCCCGAACCCGUUACUGUGGCAAUAGUUUGGGAUGAGAUGUGGUUAGAGGUGAUAUGCCUAACGAACUCGGAGAUAGCUGGUUCUCCCCGAAAUAUAUCUAGGUAUAGCCCUGUGCAAUCAAAUAGGGGGUAGAGCUCUGGAUGGAUCUGAGUGGCGCAAGCUAUUCAAUCCAAUCAAACUUCAAAUACCUAUUUGUGUAGCAGGAGUCAGUCCGAUCCGGCUAAGCGGAGCGGGCCUGAGGGAAACAUCCCAGACCGUCAGUUAAGGUCCCUAAAUAACACUUAAGUGUCAAAGGAUGUGAGGUUCCUUAGACAGCCAGGAGGUUGGCUUAGAAGCAGCCAUCCUUUAAAGAAAGCGUAACAGCUCGCUGGUCUAGUUACGGAAUCUUGCGCCGACAACGAAUCGGGGCUAAAGUGUUUACCGAAACUACGGAUCACGAUCUCCGAUAUCUGAGUUCCGAUUUCCGGGCUUGGUGGUAGGGGAGCGUUUUGAUUGGAGUGAAGCUGCACUGUGAGGUGUGGUGGACUGAUCAGAAGUGAGAAUGCCGGUAUGAGUAGCGAAAGUCCGAUGAAAAAUCGGACCGCCGAAAGCCCAAGGUUUCCUGAUCCAUGUUAAUCAGAUCAGGGUUAGUCGGCACCUAAGACGAGGCCAAAUGGCGUAGUCGAUGGACGACCCGUUAAAAUUCGGGUACUUGGAUUACUCGAUAAAGACUCUACGGAGGGACAAAGUGGGAAUAUUUGAGCCCUGCACCAUACGGUGCGGGGUCUAAGUAAUGAGGUGUAAGCCUCUAGUGCCGUAAGGCACUGCAAGCUAGUGAGUGCAGGUAAAUCCGCACUUAGUCUGUGCAAAUGGACCGUUCCGACGAGUCGUUAAGACGACGUCGGAAUGCAUAAGCAAGUUGCGAAUGCGCAAGUCAGAAAGUUUCUGUUUUCAAGAAAAGCUUCGUAGAGGAGGUAAUUUAAGCCGUACCAUAAACCGACACAGGUGGGCGAGUUGAGUAUACAAAGGCGAUCGGGAGACCUAUCCUUAAGGAACUCGGCAAUACAACUGGACGUAAGUUAGCAAGAUGUCCUGGGGUGUACCAUACGGUACGCCCUUGCAACAAACGACGCUGAGCGACUGUUUAACAAAAACACAGGUCCCUGCUAAAGCGAAAGCUGAUGUAUAGGGGCUGACACCUGCCCAGUGCCAGUAAUUUAAUGUUUCAGGUGACCCAAAGAAGCAAUUCUGAGGUGAGCUUGGGGCCUAAGAUCUGGUGAACGGCAGCAGUAACUAUAACUGUUCUAUGGUAGCGAAGUUCCUCGGACUGUAGGGUAUAUUAAUACCUGACAGAUCUGGGCGGGUAACAAGGUCUGGCGGGCAGUUUAACUGGGGCGGUUGCCUCCAAAAGAGUAACGGAGGCGUACAAAGGUACACUUGUCUCCAAUGGCAACGGAGAAUAAAGCGCAAAAGCAGAGAGUGUGCUUGAUAGUGAGACCCACAAGUCGAACUAGUGCGAAAGCAGGUUUUAGUGAUCCCUACUUUGCUUAUGGGAGCGAGUAGGCUUAUCGGAUAAAAGCUACCCCGGGGAUAACAGGCUAGUGAUACCCAACAGUCCACAAGGACGGUAUCGUUCGGCACCUCGAUGUCGGCUUAACAUCACAUCCUGCGGCUGAAGAAGGUCGCAAGGGUCGGGCUGUUCGCCCGUUAAAGUGGUACGCGAGCUGGGUUCAGAGCGGCGUAAGCCAGCUCGGACUCUAUCCAGUAUGGGCGUUUGGAUUCUUGAGGGAAGUUGUCUCUAGUACGAGAGGACCGAGAUGAGGAAACCUCUAGUGUGCCGGUUGUACCAAAAGUGCAGCGCCGGGUAGCUACGUUUCUUCCUGAUAAGCGCUGAAAGCAUCUAAGCACGAAGCAGAUCCCAAGAUUAGGAAUCCUUAAGCAGAGCUUGCGAAAGCAGGAGCUGCUUUCUAAAGACCCCUGGGAGACUACCAGGUUGAUAGGUUAGAGGUGGAAGCGCUGUAAGGCGUUAAGCCUACUAAUACUAAUGGUC
rnacentral:rRNA from 1 species